GACUCUGAGCGGUGGAUCACUCGGCUUGUGCGUAGAUGAAGAACACAACUAGCUGUGAGAACUAAUGUGAAUUGUAGCACACAUUGAUCAUCGACACUUCAAACGCACUUUGCAGCCCCAGGUUACUCCCGGGGCUAUGCCUGAGGGUCG